rnacentral:lncRNA from 1 species
CGCUGACUGACAGCCCAGUGCCCGGAGCAGGGAGCCCGAGUCGUGGCCGUGGCAGCCGCCACCGCCGCCGCCGCCGCCUGCUUUCCCUUCUCUCCCUCCAGCCCCCGGUCCCGGCCCCUUCCUCGGUCCCUUCCUGCCAGGGCCAUGGCUGCGAGGCCGCUUCGGCGGGGCUGGGUGCCGCGGGUGGGGCGGCGGCACUGAGUGGCGGCCGGGCGGAGGGGAGGGAAGCCGCCCCCGGGAGCCCCGCCGAGCCCCGCCGCCUCCCUCCGGGCCGGACCGGAGCAGGAGUGGCCUCCCCCGCCGUCCGACCCGCAGCCAUGCAGAGAGCUGCAAGGAACUGAGAUGUACCUUCCAGGUCCUAGAGAUUAACCUUCAGAUCUGACACAGUAAAAAUAUAUACUCUGGAAAGUAUUGAGUGCUGCUACUUCUUCCAGAUCGCCAGGAUAUACAGCAGAUGAGUCUCCCACUAAAAGGUGGAGAAGAUGCAGUUGCUGCAUGACUUGGAGCAUCACAAGUACAAGAUCUUUCUGGGCAUCAAGAUUCAUCUUGAGAAUGACAUUGUCACCUACUUUCUGCUUAUGGAGGGUGAGGGCAAAGGGAAAACAGAAGAGUCCAAAUCAGUCAAAAGCUCCAAAGAUAAAGUUAUGACACAGGGCAUUGUGAAUUGAAAAGUUAUCCUUUUGCAGGUCAUUUUGAUGCAGGAGUCUGAGAGUGAAGCACAUAAAGGUUUCUACUAGGUCUAAAUACUUUUCUAAUGAAAAUUCAGGCAGACCCAAACCACUCAUGGAGAUGUUCUACAUGGCACAUUUGGAAUGAUUAAUGUAUCGAUUGUAAAAACUCACCUUUUUCCUCUGUAACAUGCUUAAUCUUUCACUGUACUUACCAAAUUAAUGUGUGAUUUAAUAAGAAUUAAAAUAGCUGCCUUCUAAAUAUCAGCUUCAGGGGCAGCUAGAUGGUGCAGUGGAUAGAGCACUGGCCGUGGAUUCAGGAAGACCUGAGUUCAAAUCUGGCCUCAGACACUUGACACUUAGUAGCUGUGUGACCCUGGGCAAGUCACUUCACUCCAUUGCCUCACCUAAGUAAAUAAAUAAAUAAAUAAAUAUCA